rnacentral:tRNA from 1 species
GGGAAUUUAGCUCAGUGGUAGAGCGCUUGCCUAGCAAGCGCGAGGCCCUGGGUUCGGUCCCCAGCUCU